rnacentral:rRNA from 1 species
AGAGUUUGAUCCUGGCUCAGGACGAACGCUGGCGGCGUGCUUAACACAUGCAAGUCGAACGGGAGGAAAAGAGAAGCUUGCUUCUUUUUGAAUCUAGUGGCAAACGGGUGAGUAACACGUAAACAACCUGCCUUCAGGAUGGGGACAACAGACGGAAACGACUGCUAAUACCGAAUGUGUUCCGGAGACCGCAUGAUUUCCGGAAGAAAGGAUGGCCUCUAUUUAUAAGCUAUCGCCUGAAGAGGGGUUUGCGUCUGAUUAGGCAGUUGGUGAGGUAACGGCCCACCAAACCUACGAUCAGUAGCCGGUCUGAGAGGAUGAACGGCCACACUGGAACUGAGACACGGUCCAGACUCCUACGGGAGGCAGCAGUGGGGAAUCUUCCGCAAUGGACGAAAGUCUGACGGAGCAACGCCGCGUGAGUGAUGACGGCCUUCGGGUUGUAAAGCUCUGUGAUCGGGGACGAAUGGCUGGUAUGCUAAUACCAUAUCAGAGUGACGGUACCCGAAUAGCAAGCCACGGCUAACUACGUGCCAGCAGCCGCGGUAAUACGUAGGUGGCAAGCGUUGUCCGGAAUUAUUGGGCGUAAAGCGCGCGCAGGCGGCUUCUUAAGUCCAUCUUAAAAGUGCGGGGCUUAACCCCGUGAUGGGAUGGAAACUGGGAGGCUGGAGUAUCGGAGAGGAAAGUGGAAUUCCUAGUGUAGCGGUGAAAUGCGUAGAGAUUAGGAAGAACACCGGUGGCGAAGGCGACUUUCUGGACGACAACUGACGCUGAGGCGCGAAAGCGUGGGGAGCAAACAGGAUUAGAUACCCUGGUAGUCCACGCCGUAAACGAU